rnacentral:rRNA from 1 species
UACGGAGGAUCCAAGCGUUAUCCGGAUUUAUUGGGUUUAAAGGGUGCGUAGGCGGCUUAUUAAGUCAGAGGUGAAAGACGGUGGCUCAACCAUCGCAGUGCCUUUGAUACUGAUGAGCUUGAAUAGACCUGAGGUAGGCGGAAUGUGACAAGUAGCGGUGAAAUGCAUAGAUAUGUCACAGAACACCAAUUGCGAAGGCAGCUUACUAAGCUAUGAUUGACGCUGAGGCACGAAAGCGUGGGGAUCAAACAGG